UCUGUCUUCUCCUUUACACUCUGAUAAGAGAACAGAAAGAAGAUAUUUAUUGUUUAAUGAUUCAAUAAAUGAAUAUUUAGGAUUCUAGUUAACUUGCCUGAGAAUCAGAAACAUAAACAUGUACAUGAACAGCGUCCAGACGACCCUCGGAAGCUUGGACCAUUGGCACCCAUUCCCCCCCACCCACUGCAGAACUUGCUGAGAAACAACUCAGACAAGGUCUUGAUCCAGCACAGCCAGACAACAAGAGCUGCUGUGAAAGCACAUGGCCUCCUUUUGUACGAACAUUCAUCUGCAGUUUCUGGCUACAAGUACAGCUGCUGUAAUAUAGGAGGACCGCAUGCUGUGGUAAAACCAGCAAUUUGCUCCCCGCAUCAAAACAAAAGUGCCUUUUUCUACGACCCUCGAACCAAUCACUUCAAACGCACCUUUUUUUUUAAUGCACUAUGACUUUAUGGACUUUGUCAAACAAAUAUCCAUUUUGCACCAAUCGUGCUGUUUUAUCACAGGCUGCUAAGUUCAAUAAUAUCAGCAUGGUCUAUUUUUUGUACGAACACAUUUAGCAUUUUUUGUGUAAAUGUUCAGAGCAUUAUUGCAAUAAAUAAAUACUUAU